rnacentral:rRNA from 1 species
CAUCCUCCAAGGCUAAAUACUCCUGACUGACCGAUAGUGAACCAGUACCGUGAGGGAAAGGCGAAAAGAACCCCGGCGAGGGGAGUGAAAAAGAACCUGAAACCGUGUACGUACAAGCAGUGGGAGCCUCUUAAUGGGGUGACUGCGUACCUUUUGUAUAAUGGGUCAGCGACUUAUAUUCUGUAGCAAGGUUAACCGAAUAGGGGAGCCGAAGGGAAACCGAGUCUUAACUGGGCGUUAAGUUGCAGGGUAUAGACCCGAAACCCGGUGAUCUAGCCAUGGGCAGGUUGAAGGUUGGGUAACACUAACUGGAGGACCGAACCGACUAAUGUUGAAAAAUUAGCGGAUGACUUGUGGCUGGGGGUGAAAGGCCAAUCAAACCGGGAGAUAGCUGGUUCUCCCCGAAAGCUAUUUAGGUAGCGCCUCGUGAAUUCAUCUCCGGGGGUAGAGCACUGUUUCGGCAAGGGGGUCAUCCCGACUUACCAACCCGAUGCAAACUGCGAAUACCGGAGAAUGUUAUCACGGGAGACACACGGCGGGUGCUAACGUCCGUCGUGAAGAGGGAAACAACCCAGACCGCCAGCUAAGGUCCCAAAGUCAUGGUUAAGUGGGAAACGAUGUGGGAAGGCCCAGACAGCCAGGAUGUUGGCUUAGAAGCAGCCAUCAUUUAAAGAAAGCGUAAUAGCUCACUGGUCGAGUCGGCCUGCGCGGAAGAUGUAACGGGGCUAAACCAUGCACCGAAGCUGCGGCAGCGACACUAUGUGUUGUUGGGUAGGGGAGCGUUCUGUAAGCCUGUGAAGGUGGCCUGUGAGGGUUGCUGGAGGUAUCAGAAGUGCGAAUGCUGACAUAAGUAACGAUAAAGCGGGUGAAAAGCCCGCUCGCCGGAAGACCAAGGGUUCCUGUCCAACGUUAAUCGGGGCAGGGUGAGUCGACCCCUAAGGCGAGGCCGAAAGGCGUAGUCGAUGGGAAACAGGUUAAUAUUCCUGUACUUGGUGUUACUGCGAAGGGGGGACGGAGAAGGCUAUGUUGGCCGGGCGACGGUUGUCCCGGUUUAAGCGUGUAGGCUGGUUUUCCAGGCAAAUCCGGAAAACCAAGGCUGAGGCGUGAUGACGAAGCACUACGGUGCUGAAGCGACAAAUGCCCUGCUUCCAGGAAAAGCCUCUAAGCAUCAGGUAACAUCAAAUCGUACCCCAAACCGACACAGGUGGUCAGGUAGAGAAUACCAAGGCGCUUGAGAGAACUCGGGUGAAGGAACUAGGCAAAAUGGUGCCGUAACUUCGGGAGAAGGCACGCUGAUAUGUAGGUGAAGCGACUUGCUCGUGGAGCUGAAAUCAGUCGAAGAUACCAGCUGGCUGCAACUGUUUAUUAAAAACACAGCACUGUGCAAACACGAAAGUGGACGUAUACGGUGUGACGCCUGCCCGGUGCCGGAAGGUUAAUUGAUGGGGUUAGCGGUAACGCGAAGCUCUUGAUCGAAGCCCCGGUAAACGGCGGCCGUAACUAUAACGGUCCUAAGGUAGCGAAAUUCCUUGUCGGGUAAGUUCCGACCUGCACGAAUGGCGUAAUGAUGGCCAGGCUGUCUCCACCCGAGACUCAGUGAAAUUGAACUCGCUGUGAAGAUGCAGUGUACCCGCGGCAAGACGGAAAGACCCCGUGAACCUUUACUAUAGCUUGACACUGAACAUUGAGCCUUGAUGUGUAGGAUAGGUGGGAGGCUUUGAAGUGUGGACGCCAGUCUGCAUGGAGCCGACCUUGAAAUACCACCCUUUAAUGUUUGAUGUUCUAACGUUGGCCCGUAAUCCGGGUUGCGGACAGUGUCUGGUGGGUAGUUUGACUGGGGCGGUCUCCUCCUAAAGAGUAACGGAGGAGCACGAAGGUUGGCUAAUCCUGGUCGGACAUCAGGAGGUUAGUGCAAUGGCAUAAGCCAGCUUGACUGCGAGCGUGACGGCGCGAGCAGGUGCGAAAGCAGGUCAUAGUGAUCCGGUGGUUCUGAAUGGAAGGGCCAUCGCUCAACGGAUAAAAGGUACUCCGGGGAUAACAGGCUGAUACCGCCCAAGAGUUCAUAUCGACGGCGGUGUUUGGCACCUCGAUGUCGGCUCAUCACAUCCUGGGGCUGAAGUAGGUCCCAAGGGUAUGGCUGUUCGCCAUUUAAAGUGGUACGCGAGCUGGGUUUAGAACGUCGUGAGACAGUUCGGUCCCUAUCUGCCGUGGGCGCUGGAGAACUGAGGGGGGCUGCUCCUAGUACGAGAGGACCGGAGUGGACGCAUCACUGGUGUUCGGGUUGUCAUGCCAAUGGCACUGCCCGGUAGCUAAAUGCGGAAGAGAUAAGUGCUGAAAGCAUCUAAGCACGAAACUUGCCCCGAGAUGAGUUCU